GACGAACGCUGGCGGCGUGCUUAACACAUGCAAGUCACGGGGGUCCCGCAAGGGAUAACCGGCGAACGGGUGCGUAACACGUGAACAACCUGCCCUCGUGUGGGGGAUAGCCAUGCUAACGCGUGGGUAAUACCGCAUACGGUCCUUUGGGGGAGUCCCUGGGGGAAGAAAGCUCCGGCGCACGGGGAGGGGUUCGCGGCCUAUCAGCUAGUUGGGGGGU
rnacentral:rRNA from 1 species